rnacentral:rRNA from 1 species
CGCGUAGGCGGGAUGGCAAGUCGGUCGUGAAAUCCUUCGGCCCAACCGAAGAACGUCGGCCGAUACUGCCGUUCUUGAGGGAUGCAGAGGAGACUGGAAUUCCCGGUGUAGCGGUGAAAUGUGUAGAGAUCGGGAGGAACACCGGUGGCGAAGGCGGGUCUCUGGGCAUUUCCUGACGCUGAGGCGCGAAAGCGUGGGGAGCAAACG